rfam:Myotis davidii contig320708, whole genome shotgun sequence.
AUGCUCGCUUCAGCAGCACAUAUACUAAAAUUGGAACGAUACAGAGAUGAGUAUGGCCCCUGUGCAAGGAUGACUCACAAAUUCAUGGUGUUCCGUAUUUUUUA